rnacentral:rRNA from 1 species
AACGCAGCGAAAUGCGAUAAGUAGUGUGAAUUGCAGAAUUCAGUGAAUCAUCGAAUCUUUGAACGCACAU